CGCCUUGCAAACACCAGCAGCAACAACAACAUGUCGUGUCUCUCCUUCACAUGACCAUAUAAACACUACUUUAUAACAUACCUUAAAAGUGAUAAAAACCUGCAUAAAUGAUUACAUGAUGAUGAAAAUGAUUACAGCACCCAAGGCCUAAAACCCUAACCCCCUUUCACAUUGUAGUAUGGCAGUCUUACUGGGGUUAACCAACAAUUUUCCACUAAUUAACUCUUUCGGCAAUAUCAUUUGUAUAUGAAGUUAGCUACUGCAUAGAUCUACUGACUGAAAUAGUCUCUUUUACAUUCAGCCUCCAAAGUCAUGGACUACAUGUUAAGACUUGUCAUAACAACAACUGUCAUAACAACUGUGUAUCCUAACUUAAUGAGGUAGCUGCCAUUCCCGAUUUUAAACCCAGGUCCCUUCAGUUAUAAUUAUUUGAAAACAUGAAGUAAUCAGACACAAGAAACGAAUUAACGUACUAAAAUAAUUUAAUAACAAUCAAAAGUUUAAAAUAAUGUGCAACAAUACAAUUGUGACAAUUCUAAACAGGUUUUAAGAUGCAACAAAAACACUUUCCCAGCCCAGAGCUACACGAUGUACUACAACUACAGGGGAGACAGAUAUAGAAGAGCAACUGUGCACACUUCCUAUUUAAAUUAUACAGAACAUAACCACACUAAUGCCUGUUGCCAACAACACACCAUGAAGUGAAAUGUCUCAUGGAGGACUUCAGUGUGUUCCCUGCGCUGAAUCUUGUGUAAGUCUUUUAGCAAGGUAUAAUAACCCAGUAGAAAGCAAAAUAAUUGCCAUCCAGAGCUCUGUGGACACAAGAUUCAGUUAAUAUGCCACUGAAUUGCUGGCCUAUUCCUAUUACUAAGGAAAUUACUGCAGUUAUUUUUUCUUUUUUUCAGGCUUUCAAGUAGAGAUCCAGUCUUCGGAUUCAAAUAAUUUAUCUUCCUAUUUCAGGGAGACGAAGAUUCGUUAGGCUCCUGGAAAAUGGAGAUCAGAGUGGACUUUAGAGAGAAGCUGGAUGCUUGAUGAGCACAGCACAGACACUGAGUACACACUGCAGUGCUCUUUGUGUACACUAGACACAGUGUGUGUGCUGUGUGCCAAUGGAAAAGUCCAGCUAGAAGAACUCGUUUUCAAUAUCACGUUCUUUUUCCCAACUGCUACAUUUUGUUGCAGAUCUGCCAUAGAACAGGAGGCCAAACAUAAUUCUGUGCACUCUGAUUAAUGUCUUUUUAUGUUCUAAAGAUGCCAGUCUAUUCCAUAUUUAAGCCUAUUCGCAAUUAUUAGCAUUCUUCUGUUCUAUUUUUUUAAGGGGUAUCAGGGGUCUUGUAUGUAAGUGGAUUUGUGAGAAAAGCAAUUCAUCUAAAGCAUCGGUUCCCAAACUGGGGUACGCGUACCCCCAGGGGUACGCGAAGUGGUUACGGGGGGUACGCGGGGAGAAAAUUUCCGCGAUAACAGAAAACGGACGGAAUUCGCAGAAUGUACCGUUUGAAACAGAAUUGCAACUUUCAGACGGAAACAUCAUUUUGUGCAUUAAAAUCGCCCAAAUUCCCCUGUAUUUUGUCCUGCAAGGCUGUAUUUCUUUCUUAUAAACACAACAACGAUCGCAACGAUGAACAAGCAUUAAUUAGAAAACAAAACCACUGAGAAAAUGUCACGUCUGUGCUGAACUCCGCUCCGGCCACGCCCCCCUAUUCAACACAGACCUCCGUAGCCUGUCAAAUGAAUUCGCUCAUCUUCCCAAUCGCCUGCAAAUAAUGUUUUUUUAGUCUUCUGUUCCGUUGAUGGCCGGCAAACAACAACCUUAGAAGGUUUGGGUCAGUUGUGGCACAUCUUAUUCACUCAUUUUAAACCAUCAAUCUACCUCUGGGUGAACAAAAUGAGCCGAAACGGAUUAAGACGGAAUUAAAGUAAUAGGUGAAAAGGAAAACUUUUUUUUUUUCAACGGGGGGGGGGGGGGGUACGCAGCUGGAGAUUAAAUGUCUGAAGGGGUACGGGACUGUAAAAAGUUUGGGAACCACUGAUCUAAAGUAUGUUGUUUAAGCAUCAGAUUUGCACUCUGUUGUGAGAGGAAACUAAUGUAGAAUCUCUUUAAUUUAACACUGCCAGUGUUGUGAAUAGAUUGAAACUUCAAGACCAAUAGAGGAUUUAUACUUAUUUAUGUAUACAUUUAAAAAUGAACGGGUUAAGCACAAGUUAUGACUUGUGAUGUUAAAUUUGAGAUAGAGACAGUUGAACUGAGAUGGGAUUGAGAGCCCCCUGUGGUUUUGUUGUUUGUGCUCAUUUGGAUUAGUGGACUUUUCCGUGAUGCUAUCCCUGCCUUCAUACAAUCCCCCAGGCUUCUUCUAAGUGGCCAGUCCCUCCAGGAAUUCGCUUUUUAUCUUUUUUUAUUUUGCAAUCAAAAUGGUUCAUCAAAAAAUGUCUGUGGAACUGUGCACUUUUUGUGUCUUUAAACCCCACUUCAAUGCCACAUAUAGAAAAAAAAUGAAUGAGAGAUGAAAAUCCCUGACAUCAUACAGAUUAUCUAUUUGAGUAUUUUCUUUUUUUAUAUAUAUGUUUUGAAAUAAUAUUUUAAUAUAUUUUGUUUUUGUGUUUUCUUAUGUCUUCAUUUCAUGCAAUGGAUACAUAAGAACACUAAUUUGAGAUGUGCCAUCUGAUUUCACACAUUUCUGAGAACUUUCACAUACAAAAUGAUAUGGCCAUUUCAUUCAUACAAGAAUUGAAAUUAAGUUAAAAUAAAAUGUCAAAGGUUUGACCCUUUGAACUCUCAAGUUCUUGUGAACAUUUAGAACAGUAAUCAUGAGUAAUCCUGUACUAUUAAUAAAUGAAACUGAAUACAAAACCUAGUUAUUCAAAAUGUGUUGACCAUUCCUUGCCUUACUUCGUUGACAUUCUACUCACUCAAUUUACCCUUCAGUGGGCUCAUGCAUUUAGGAACGGGCUUUUAUUUUGAAAUGUCAUCUCUGCAAUACGAAAUAAUUAUCAGUUGGACACAACAAUAUGCCUUAAGUUUAAUAUCAAGUUCGAACACUAUUAAGAUAGAAAGAAAGACUUCUCUAUAAUAAAUAUUUGAAGAAAGAAUAGCGUGUGUAAGUAGUUCAUUUAACUUUUAAUGAGAUGACAUUUAUAGAUAAAACUAUGUUAUGAACGUUAAGCGAAUGUCUAAUGCCAAGCAAACUAACUCCAUCACACACCUGACUCCAGUGGUUUAGACAGACUGUGCAUAACACUAUACCACCAUCAGGAGGCCAGAAGAAGCGGCAAUCAUUUUAUGGAUUUUGCUUUAAAUUUGCGAAUCGCGAAAAACUGGAGGGAGUGAGUAGUUCUGAAUUUCAUUUACUGCAGGUAGCCUAGGCCUAGAUGGUGGAUUAAUGGAUGGUGGAUUAACUCUCCGCGAGAUCGAUUGGACUUUCUGAGAAUGAAUCAAUGAUUCCUCAUCUCCCAUUUUGAUUAACUGAUUACAGUGGAUUGGACAAGGGCAGCCAUCAUGUAGGAAAAAAAGACCAUCUGUGUAUUUUGUUCUUUCUUGACUGAGCUUGACUGGAACCGAAGAAGCUGCUAACAGUUUUAGUCAUAGUCCCUCUUACCUCUCAUUGUAUUUACUGCCAGAAAAGUAAUGCUGUCCUACACACACUGAACGUCAAAUAAAUAACAGAGAAGCCCCCGCAGCACAAAAAACUCAAAACUCAAACUCAAAUCAAAAUGCUCAAAGGAAGAGAUUAACAGAGACAACUCAUAUAUGAUAUACAAUUAAUAUUAAAGGCUAUCACACAUGUAGGCAUGUUACAUUUAACCUUAAACUGAUUUGACAUUGACUAUGCACAGCCUGCGCUCCACACACACUGACAGAAGGAGCGGGGUCCCUCUUUGAGGUUUACUCUCUGAAGGUCACUGUGGGAUCUCUGAAGGUCACUGUGGGAUGUUUGAGUCCUACCUCAGAGAAGCCCGGCAGGCUGCAGCACAUAAGCAAUCUUUGGAGGCUCUUUGAGCUUCUUUGUCACAAACGCAGCUGUUAUCAUCUGCUGUCAAACUCUUACAAUAGAACAAAAAUGGCACUGUAGAAAUUAGCAGCUCAAAUGGAAAUGCCAGUGGUCAGACCAAAUAACAACAACAACGACAACAACAAAACAAAAAAAACCCAUUCAAUUAAAGAUCAAUAUGAAAUUGCACUCCGUGAUCCAAGCCAUUUUUUCCUCAGAGCAAUUUUACAUUCACACCCUCAUCCCCCUCACACCCUGACUGUUGCAUUUCCCAAUCAAAGAUACAGGCUCUUCUCAUAGUGUCUCAAUCAAAGAUACAGGCUCUUAUCAUAGUGUCUCAAUCAGAGGUCAUUCAGAAUGCCAGCUAUUUCAGACACUUUCAAACACUGCCGCACUCUAUAUGGACAAAGCUCAAUUUACUGAAGAAAGUCACCUUGGCCCAAAUCAAGGGUGACUAUUUUAUCCUUCAUUGAAUAAACUGAUGUUGAACGAAGUAGAUCCCAGGAUUGCCAAAGCUUUCAGGCGAGGAAGCGUUCCAUUCACGAUAUUCUGCAGCAGAGGCGACUGGGAAAUCCCCCUGGACAUGUAUCACUGGAUGACUGCUCUUUUCACAGACCCUAUUAAAGUCCCUGUCCUGACAUUGAUUAAACCCCUAAAAAUUCACCUCUGUUCCUAAAUAUAUAAAAAAAGAAAUCCCUUCAUGGCUUGCAUGUAUCUCUACACCUGCCUCAUUUAGUAUUCACACAUAUAUAUUAGCACAGCCUCUAUCUAUCUGCCUGGCUUGACUACGUUAUCAAACGGCUAAUAGUGUGUUGCUGAUGUUAUAUAAACUUUGGUUCUGAUCGCCAGCUCUGAUUUAGCAGAUUCAAAUAAUAAAAUAAUAAACAUCCAGAUGUGUACUCUGUGACAUAUGACACCCAGGCUGUCUAAAACCUGACAUUGGUGCACUAUAGUUCCAAGGUGGCACUGACAGCUUAUUUUGCUCAUGAUAUGUUGUGUAUCAUAUAAAAAACACCAUAUAGACAUGUUAACAAGGUUAAAAACUUGAUUUUCACCGGCGAGGGGGGGGGGGGGAUCUUUAAACAAUGCUAGAAAUAGCUGAUGCACUCUCUCAUUUGAUAUAUUACAGACCUGAUGUGAGUGAGUGCUUUUAGAUAAAACAGCGAUGGCAAAUUUAAUCAGGAAUCUCCAGGGACAAUUUUUACCGGAAUGGACCCUCUUAAAACUGCCUUUGUGAAUAGUGGCUCUCACUUUUGAUAUCUAUGCUUUUAGUGAAGCAAUACCAUGUUAAUGAUGCCAUUAUGAAUAAUGCUAUCACUUUAGCAAAUUCACGUAGCUCUGUAGAUGAAAGCCAUCGCUCAGAGCCAAGGCCUACACAGCACUCCGAAGAGGGCACGGUCAAAUGCUAAGAUCAAAGAGGUGCAAUUAGUUGUUUACAUUUCUAUAUACGGUACCUGUACAUUCUGGGCUGUAAGUGUGUGUGUGUGAGUGUGUGUACAUUUGUUGUGAAGGGCCUUUUUUGCAAAGGCCCGGACACAACAUUCCUCAUUGUCUUUUCGUCUGUACUCAAACAAAUAGUAAAAAAUCUACAUCAACUCCAUCAAAAUCAUCAUCAUGUAAGCACACCACUUGGAUGUACAGUAUCUGACACCUGCUUCAGGUUGGCACAGCAUUGUCCAUUUACUGUAGUCCACAAAAAAACAGAGAGGUAGAAAUUCAACAACAGCCAUCCAAACCGGGGCAGGAAAUCUGAGGCGUUGCCAGAUAUACACUCUUCAUCUUUCCUCCUCUUCUAUGUUUGGAUGCAACCAAAUCUGUCCAAGGUCACAUGGGAUGAAUUGCACUUGUGACCACUUAUCUGGCAACCCAGAAUCCUAGAGUGCAUAGCUUAUCUUCCCACUGACCAGAUGUCAUCCCUCCUGAGAUCAGCUCCUCUUCCCACAAAAGCCCCAUUCGCUGUUCUUUUUUUUAAUACAAAACUCCUCUUGUGAUAUUAUCACGUCACUCACUAUUAUCGUCACCCUCCUGGGUAUCAGACUGAAGUCUCCUUGUAAAUGGAGGUCAAAGGACAGCUGUUGCAGCUGUUCCUUCAUGUCUUUGAGAAUCCAUGAUGAAGAUCAACUCCACCCAGAUGGUAGCUGACCUCGGAUCAGAUCAACAUCAUAACUCCACCCUGAUGGUAGCUGACCUCGGAUCAGAUCAACAUCAUAACUCCACCCUGAUGGUAGCUGACCUCGGAUCAGAUCAACAUCAUAACUCCACCCUGAUGGUAGCUGACCUCGGAUCAGAUCUGGCCCAGUUCCGGUGCGGUUCUGGCCUUGAGAUCUGAUGCUCCUUCAUGUUCAUCACUCCUGGACAAAAUCACCUAUCCCAAUGAUGAACUGAGCUCACAGAUAUGAUGUCUGUGGUUCUGUGUCUGUGUGUGUGUGUGUGUGUGUGUGUGUGUGUGUGUGUGUGUGUGUGUGUGUGUGUGUGUGUGUGUAGCUCUCUCAUUCAUUUUCACAUAAACUCCUGUGGUAAAAGUUGGCAUAAAUCUGUUCCAGGGUCACCUGCUGUCCAGGUGUGGUGUGGGGUAAGGCCAGGUAUGAGGUCAGCAGUAACUCUCCGAGUACCUCACCG
ensembl:lncRNA